rnacentral:rRNA from 1 species
CUACGGGAGGCAGCAGUAGGGAAUUUUCCACAAUGGACGAAAGUCUGAUGGAGCAACGCCGCGUGCAGGAUGAAGGCUUUCGGGUCGUAAACUGCUUUUAUCUGUGAUGAAUUUGACAGUAGCAGAAGAAUAAGGAUCGGCUAACUACGUGCCAGCAGCCGCGGUCAUACGUAGGAUCCAAGCAUUAUCCGGAAUUACUGGGCGUAAAGAGUUGCGUAGGUGGCAUUGUAAGCGGGGCAUGAAAUCGUGUGGCUCAACCAUACGGCUAUGUUCUGAACUGCAAAGCUAGAGAGCGAGAGAGGUCACUGGAAUUCCAAGUGUAGGAGUGAAAUCCGUAGAUAUUUGGAGGAACACCGAUGGCGUAAGCAGGUGACUGGCUCGUUUCUGACACUCAGGCACGAAAGCGUGGGGAGCGAACGGGAUUAGAUACCCGUGUAGUC